ACGCUGGCGGCAUGCCUCAUACAUGCAAGUCGAACGAGGUCUUCGGACCUAGUGGCGCACGGGUGAGUAACAUGUGGGAAUCUACCUGAAGGUUCGGAAUAACUGCGGGAAACUGUAGCUAAUACCGGAUGUGUCUGCAAAGAGAAAGAUUUAUCGCCUUCAGAUGAGCCCGCACUAGAUUAGCUAGUUGGUGAGGUAAUUGCUCCACCAAGGCUACGAUCUAUAGCUGAUUUGAGAGGAUGAUCAGCCACACUGGGACUGAGACACGGCCCAGACUCCUACGGGAGGCAGCAGUAGGGAAUAUUGGACAAUGGGGGAAACCCUGAUCCAGCAAUGCCGCGUGAGUGAAGAAGGCCUUCGGGUUGUAAAACUCUUUCAGCAAUGAAGAUAAUGACAUUAAUUGCAGAAGAAGCCCCGGCUAACUUCGUGCCAGCAGCCGCGGUAAUACGAAGGGGGCUAGCGUUGUUCGGAAUCAUUGGGCGUAAAGCGUAUGUAGGCGGAUCAAAAAGUUAGAUGUGAAAGCCCUGGGCUCAACCCAGGAACUGCGUUUAAAACUAGUGAUCUAGAAUUUGGUAGGGGUUAGUAGAAUUUCCAGUGUAGAGGUGAAAUUCGUAGAUAUUGGAAAGAAUACCAGUGGCGAAGGCGACUAACUGGGCCAUUUUUGACGCUGAGAUACGAAAGCGUGGGUAGCAAACAGGAUUAGAUACCCUGGUAGUCCACGCAGUAAACGAUGAGUGCUAGUCGCUGGGACAUUAGUUUCAGUGUCGAAGCUAACGCAUUAAGCACUCCGCCUGGGAAGUACGGU
rnacentral:rRNA from 1 species